GAAGCUGGAAUCGCUAGUAAUCGCGGAUCAGAAUGCCGCGGUGAAUACGUUCCCGGGUCUUGUACACACCGCCCGUCACACCAUGGGAGUCGGAAAUGCCCCGAAGUCAGUGACCCAACCGUAAGGAAGGAGCUGCCGAAGGUGGAGCCGGUAACUGGGGUGAAGUCGUAACAAGGUAAC
rnacentral:rRNA from 1 species